UACGAAGGGGGCUAGCGUUGUUCGGAAUCACUGGGCUUAAAGGGCGCGUAGGCGGGCUCUCAAGUCCGGGGUGAAAUCCCACAGCUCAACUGUGGAACUGCCUCGGAUACUGGGGGCCUCGAGGGUGGUAGGGGUAUGCGGAACUAUCGGUGGAGCGGUGAAAUGCGUUGAUAUCGAUAGGAACUCCGGUGGCGAAGGCGGCAUACUGGACCACAUCUGACGCUGAGGCGCGAAAGCCAGGGGAGCAAACGGG
rnacentral:rRNA from 1 species